rnacentral:rRNA from 1 species
GAUGAACGCUGGCGGCGUGCCUAAUACAUGCAAGUCGAGCGAACGGACGAGAAGCUUGCUUCUCUGAUGUUAGCGGCGGACGGGUGAGUAACACGUGGAUAACCUACCUAUAAGACUGGGAUAACUUCGGGAAACCGGAGCUAAUACCGGAUAAUAUUUUGAACCGCAUGGUUCAAAAGUGAAAGACGGUCUUGCUGUCACUUAUAGAUGGAUCCGCGCUGCAUUAGCUAGUUGGUAAGGUAACGGCUUACCAAGGCAACGAUGCAUAGCCGACCUGAGAGGGUGAUCGGCCACACUGGAACUGAGACACGGUCCAGACUCCUACGGGAGGCAGCAGUAGGGAAUCUUCCGCAAUGGGCGAAAGCCUGACGGAGCAACGCCGCGUGAGUGAUGAAGGUCUUCGGAUCGUAAAACUCUGUUAUUAGGGAAGAACAUAUGUGUAAGUAACUGUGCACAUCUUGACGGUACCUAAUCAGAAAGCCACGGCUAACUACGUGCCAGCAGCCGCGGUAAUACGUAGGUGGCAAGCGUUAUCCGGAAUUAUUGGGCGUAAAGCGCGCGUAGGCGGUUUUUUAAGUCUGAUGUGAAAGCCCACGGCUCAACCGUGGAGGGUCAUUGGAAACUGGAAAACUUGAGUGCAGAAGAGGAAAGUGGAAUUCCAUGUGUAGCGGUGAAAUGCGCAGAGAUAUGGAGGAACACCAGUGGCGAAGGCGACUUUCUGGUCUGUAACUGACGCUGAUGUGCGAAAGCGUGGGGAUCAAACAGGAUUAGAUACCCUGGUAGUCCACGCCGUAAACGAUGAGUGCUAAGUGUUAGGGGGUUUCCGCCCCUUAGUGCUGCAGCUAACGCAUUAAGCACUCCGCCUGGGGAGUACGACCGCAAGGUUGAAACUCAAAGGAAUUGACGGGGACCCGCACAAGCGGUGGAGCAUGUGGUUUAAUUCGAAGCAACGCGAAGAACCUUACCAAAUCUUGACAUCCUUUGACAACUCUAGAGAUAGAGCCUUCCCCUUCGGGGGACAAAGUGACAGGUGGUGCAUGGUUGUCGUCAGCUCGUGUCGUGAGAUGUUGGGUUAAGUCCCGCAACGAGCGCAACCCUUAAGCUUAGUUGCCAUCAUUAAGUUGGGCACUCUAAGUUGACUGCCGGUGACAAACCGGAGGAGGGUGGGGAUGACGUCAAAUCAUCAUGCCCCUUAUGAUUUGGGCUACACACGUGCUACAAUGGACAAUACAAAGGGCAGCGAAACCGCGAGGUCAAGCAAAUCCCAUAAAGUUGUUCUCAGUUCGGAUUGUAGUCUGCAACUCGACUACAUGAAGCUGGAAUCGCUAGUAAUCGUAGAUCAGCAUGCUACGGUGAAUACGUUCCCGGGUCU